rnacentral:rRNA from 1 species
AACAAGGUCUCCGUUGGUGAACCAGCGGAGGGAUCAUUAUCGAGUUAUUCAACUCCCAAACCCUAUGUGAACUUACCACUUGUUGCUUCGGCGCGCGCUUCGGCGCCGCCGAGGACACUUAAACUCUUUGUUUUUAUAAGCAUUUCUGAGUGGCCGAAAGGCAAAAAUACAAAUGAAUCAAAACUUUCAACAACGGAUCUCUUGGUUCUGGCAUCGAUGAAGAACGCAGCGAAAUGCGAUAAGUAAUGUGAAUUGCAGAAUUCAGUGAAUCAUCGAAUCUUUGAACGCACAUUGCGCCCGCCAGCAUUCUGGCGGGCAUGCCUGUUCGAGCGUCAUUUCAACCCUCGAGCCCGACUCUUUUGAGGACGGCUCAGCGUUGGGGGACGGCAGACUCCCCCCGGCAUCUCGCCGGGGACGCCGCCCCCGAAAUCUAGUGGCGGCCCUCCGAGGCGACCUCUGCGUAGUAACUUGUUCUCGCACCGGAAUGCUCAGAGCGGCCACGCCGUAAAACCCCAACUUUUUUCAGGUUGACCUCGAAUCAGGUAGGACUACCCGCUGAACUUAAGCAUAUCAAUA